rnacentral:rRNA from 1 species
UGGGGAAUAUUGCGCAAUGGGGGAAACCCUGACGCAGCGACGCCGCGUGUGGGAUGAAGGUCUUCGGAUUGUAAACCACUGUCGCGAGGGACGAAGCUCUGACGGUACCUCGAAAGGAAGCACCGGCUAACUCUGUGCCAGCAGCCGCGGUAAUACAGAGGGUGCGAGCGUUGUCCGGAAUCACUGGGCGUAAAGGGCUCGUAGGCGGCCAACUAAGUCAGACGUGAAAUCCCUCGGCUUAACCGGGGAACUGCGUCUGAUACUGGAUGGCUUGAAUCCGGGAGAGGGAUGUGGAAUUCCAGGUGUAGCGGUGAAAUGCGUAGAUAUCUGGAGGAACACCGGUGGCGAAGGCGGCAUCCUGGACCGGUAUUGACGCUGAGUGAGCGAAAGCCAGGGGAGCAAACGGGAUUAGAUACCCUAGUAGUCCCUGAGCGGGCUGGCAAGGCGCAU